GUGGGGAAUAUUGGACAAUGGGCGCAAGCCUGAUCCAGCCAUACCGCGUGGGUGAAGAAGGCCUUCGGGUUGUAAAGCCCUUUUGUUGGGAAAGAAAUCCUGUCGGUUAAUACCUGGCGGGGAUGACGGUACCCAAAGAAUAAGCACCGGCUAACUUCGUGCCAGCAGCCGCGGUAAUACGAAGGGUGCAAGCGUUACUCGGAAUUACUGGGCGUAAAGCGUGCGUAGGUGGUGGUUUAAGUCCGUUGUGAAAGCCCUGGGCUCAACCUGGGAAUUGCAGUGGAUACUGGAUCACUAGAGUGUGGUAGAGGGAUGCGGAAUUUCUGGUGUAGCAGUGAAAUGCGUAGAGAUCAGAAGGAACAUCCGUGGCGAAGGCGGCAUCCUGGGCCAACACUGACACUGAGGCACGAAAGCGUGGGGAGCAAACAGGAUUAGAUACCCCUGUAGUCC
rnacentral:rRNA from 1 species